rnacentral:snoRNA from 1 species
UGCAUGCUGUGGGUGUGCCCCCCACCCGAAAAGAAAAAGGGACUAAAUUUGUGGACAAAGACUUAUAGACAGGUGCAAAAGUAAAUCCUCUUUUGCAACCCAGAGCACAGUAUGAGCUUUGGUAUAGAUAAGAAGGAACAUG